GGAAUUACUGGGCGUAAAGCGCACGUAGGUGGUUCAUUAAGUCAGAUGUGAAAGCCCGGGGCUCAACCUCGGAACUGCAUUUGAAACUGGUGAACUAGAGUACUGUAGAGGGGGGUAGAAUUUCAGGUGUAGCGGUGAAAUGCGUAGAGAUCUGAAGGAAUACCAGUGGCGAAGGCGGCCCCCUGGACAGAUACUGACACUCAGAUGCGAAAGCGUGGGGAGCAAACAGGAUUAGAUACCCUGGUAGUCCACGCCGUAAACGAUGUCUACUUGGAGGUUGUGGCCUUGAGCCGUGGCUUUCGGAGCUAACGCGUUAAGUAGACCGCCUGGGGAGUACGGUCGCAAGAUUAAAACUCAAAUGAAUUGACGGGGGCCCGCACAAGCGGUGGAGCAUGUGGUUUAAUUCGAUGCAACGCGAAGAACCUUACCUACUCUUGACAUCCAGAGAAGCCAGCGGACGACGCCAGGUGUGCCUUCGGGAGCUCUGAGACAGGUGCUGCAUGGCU
rnacentral:rRNA from 1 species